AUCCUGUUUUGGUGGUGCAGCUCUUGGGAUCAGUGCUCUGAGCACCCAGCAGAAGAGGCUCUGAAUGCUUCGGGCUCAGUUAGUCAAGCACCGUGAGCUGCAACAGGGAACAUACAGACAGGAGGCCAGCUGGAGUCUCUCUCUUUCACUUCCUGACGUGUACACCCCGUCAACCCUCAAAUUUCAGCCUCCGAAGCUCCGAGAAAGCCCCUUGGGGAAUACUCUGCUCCUCCCUUUCACUGGGCAGAGCGACCAGCACAGGCUGUGGUCUCCUCGGAAGCUUUGGUGGGAUGCAGGCAGCAUCUGGGAGAAGGCGCCUCGGAACUCACGUGCCCGCGUUGCCCAGGACCCCAAUUCCUUCCACCUCUCGGAUGCUGCUUUCUUUUCCCAGGGACAGAGCCAAGCUGUAAUUGACUCCUUGGGUAUUUCAGAGUCCCUGAUCCCAAGACUGAAGGAUGACUCCCUGCUGUUGUGAAAGGUGCGCUGAAUCGACAGUCCUGAGUUUUGAAGUUUUCCUGGAGGGGACGUGAGGGGAUUUCUCCAGGAUCGAUGGAACUCCUUUUGUGGUGCUUCAGUGCUUCCACCAUGAAGCGCUCAUUUCCCUAUGCACGUCCCCCCGCCCCACCCCACUGUUUCCUUUACUCUCUCUCCUCCCACCCCCAAUUCCCAGAAGAAGAUCUAGGAAUCAGGUCCAAACAUAAGAUCUUUGGAGAAUCCUUGCGUGUGUUUUUUUAAAUUUUUAUUGGAGUAUAGUUGAUUUACAAUGUUGUGUUAGUUCCGGGUGUACAGCAAAGUGAAGCAGUUAUACAUAUACAUAUAAUCCACUCUUUUUUAGACUCUUUUCCCAUACAGGUCAUUACAGAGUACUGAGUAGAGUUCCCUGUGCUAUACAGUAGGUCCUGAUUAGUCAUCUAGUUUAUAGGUAGUGUUGUGUAUAUGUCAAUCCCAAUCUCCCAAUUUAUCCCUCUCCCCUCCCCACUUUCCCCCCCUGGUAACCAUAAGUUUGUUUUCUACACCUGUGACUCUAUUUCGAAUCCUUGUGUUUUACUCUCGUCCUGAAACUAGAUAAAGCCUAGUCAUCAAUCAACAAGUGAGGAAGUAGAGCCAGGCAUUGGUUGAGUGUUGAUGUUUCUGGUACAAGCUGACUCUCCGCUCAUCAUCCCACACCUUCAUCAGCCAUCAUCAUGCUGUCUGUCACCUCCUCUUCUCUGAAGAAGGCCCGGGCCAUCUUUUGAAAAUACAAAGUCCAGCAUUGAGACCCUCCCAACUGAGAGAGCAGGAAGGGCCAGGGCUGCUGAGGUGCUCCCUGAACCCCACUCAGGGGAUCUGUGUUGUUCCCACCUGGGUGUAUUGUGUGGACCCCCUAAAAUUCCUCCAAACCUCUGCCUCUGCGCUUCCAGAUUGCCCCUGAAAGAAAUGAACAAUAAUCAUAAUACCCACCACGUACUGACCGCUGGUCUCUUGAGGGCUGCCUUGCCAUUGGACAACAUUUGUUGAGCUCCUACUGUUUGCCAGACAGCGGGUACAUGCUUUAUGUGUGUUUAGCCCUUCUGACAACACUGUGAUUUAGGACCUGUUAAUAUGUCUAUUUUGCUGAAAUGGAAACUGAGGUUCAGAGUGGUUAAAUAACAAGGAAAAGUCCAUGUUUUUACCCCCUACACUAAUAUAUAUGUAUAUUUGUGUAUAUAUAUUCUAUAUAUGUAUAUUUAACAUGUAUAUGAUGUUGACUGAAAAAAAUGCACAACCUCAAAGUUGAGAAAUAUGUUUUAUUGGGUGGGCAAAACUGAGGACUUAAGCCUGGGACACAGCCUCUCAGCUCUCUCUGAGGGACUGAUCCAAAAAGGAGAGGGAGGAGCCAUCAACUAUAGGAGUUUUUGCAACAAAGACCAGGUAAUCGGAACAUGGAAAGAUUCCUGUUAAUUAAAGAAAACCAGACAUCUCGA